UACGGAGGGGCUAGCGUUGUUCGGAAUUACUGGGCGUAAAGCGCACGUAGGCGGCUUUGUAAGUUAGAAGGUGAAAGCCCGGGGCUCAACUCCGGAAUUGCCUUUAAGACUGGCAUCGCUAGAAUUGUGGAGAGGUAGUGGAAUUCCGAGUGUAGGGUGAAAUUCGUAGAUAUUCGGAAGAACACCAGUGGCGAAGGCGACUUGACUGGACACAUAUUGACGUGAGGUGCGAAGCGUGGGAGCAAA
rnacentral:rRNA from 1 species